rnacentral:rRNA from 1 species
UGGGGAAUCUUGCACAAUGGGGGAAACCCUGAUGCAGCGACGCCGCGUGAGCGAUGAAGGUUUUCGAAUCGUAAAGCUCUGUCCUAUGGGAAGAUAAUGACGGUACCAUAGGAGGAAGCCCCGGCUAACUACGUGCCAGCAGCCGCGGUAAUACGUAGGGGGCGAGCGUUGUCCGGAAUUACUGGGCGUAAAGGGUUCGCAGGCGGCAUGACAAGUCCGAUGUAAAAGGCGAAAGCUCAACUUUCGUAAGCAUCGGAAACUGUCAAGCUUGAGUGAUGGAGAGGCAGGAGGAAUUCCGUGUGUAGCGGUGGAAUGCGUAGAUAUUAGGAGGAAGACCGGUGGCGAAGGCGGCUUGCUGGACUUCAACUGACGCUGAGGAACGAAAGCGUGGGUAGCAAACAGG